AAAUUGAAGAGUUUGAUCAUGGCUCAGAUUGAACGCUGGCGGCAGGCCUAACACAUGCAAGUCGAACGGUAACAGGAAGCAGCUUACUGUUUCGCUGACGAGUGGCGGACGGGUGAGUAAUGUCUGGGAAACUGCCUGAUGGAGGGGGAUAACUACUGGAAACGGUAGCUAAUACCGCAUAACG
rnacentral:rRNA from 1 species